CUGGGGCAGAUCUGGCGUGCUGUAGGAGGCAACUCCGUCCAAACGAGUGCGGAGGAGGCCAGGGCGUGAGAGGCGACCUUGAAGGGAGCCCGGGAGCUCAGCCCUGACUUUUGCACUACAUCCAUCCAUCGUAUUCCUAGAUAAAUCUUUGGCUCUCUGUCCUUUGGUUUUCCACUUGGUAAAACGUGUUCCUCGUGCAUUCUGCAGGGGGAUUGUGCAGAUCAGUGAGAUUAUUUUGGGGAAGAGCUUGGAUCUUCGCGGAAAGAAGGCAUUACAGCAAUUCAAGAUUUCUCAGAAAGCUCCCAUAGGCUGGCUUCAUUGACAAGAAAGAAGGGAGAAGCAUGGAAGAGAGAAUUGGAGUGAAGAUUCUGAAGUCAUCAACUUGACUCCAGAAAAACCAAGGUUGAAGAAUACUACCUACCUCCCAACAGAGAGGUGAUGGACCACUGGUACAGAAUGAAACAUGCAUUUGUGGACAUGGCAAAUGUGUGCCUUUGUCAAUGAGCAAGCAACCAGACUUUUGGCUAGGCACAAAGAUACAAAGAAAAAAAAUGUGCGUGUAUUCUAUGUACACCUAAAUAUAAACUGAAUAAAUAAAUGUAAAUUUCAAAGUUGAAACUGACAAGGAAAACAACUUUUUUUAAAAGUUAUUUUGGGGAAAAAAGGGAAUACAAAAAAAGGAAUCACUAUUGGGGUGGCUAAGAUGAGAGCAAAAACAAGAAACUGCUUAUAUCUGUAAUUGUGUUUUUUCUACCAAAGGGUGGAAAAAUCUUUGCUCUGGAAAGAGCAGAACAAAAAUGACUUAU